UUAAAGAACGUCCUUUAAACUGGCUAAAGCUAGUCUUCAAUUAUUUUCAGCAUAGUUUGGGGUGUCCAAUUUAAAAUUCCAAAGGCCUACAUUGCAGAACUCGUGGAGAGUGGCAGACAAUCAUAAAGAAAUAAAAUGAAACGAUACAAAUGCUGAUGCAGUCGUAGCUAUAUGCGUAUUUAUGUAUACAAAACGCAUAUCUUGAUAUAGACACAGAACGCAGUCAUUGUGUUGGUCGGGCGGUCGGUCGGCCGGUUGGUUGGAUUGUUGAAUUGGCCCCUGUUUAAUUUAAAUGUUCCCUGCUUAAAGGUCUUUUGAACUGUGCGUAGGAGGGAAGUUGUGCUGCCGAUAUGGCAGCUUAAAUACGUGCCUGGACCGAGGCGAAUACCUCAAUACGGCCACUGGCGCUGCCUCUCGUCAGACAGUCAACAACAAUUCGCCGCGAGCUAGAAAUCAUGUCUAGAAUGCUUAAGUGCGUCCCGAAGCCAAAGUCAAGUGCCAAGUGGAAUGAAUGUGUAUUCGUAAGACGAUAGGAAUUUCCUGAAACAUUAAAUGACGGAUUAUUCCCAAAUUCGAUUUCUAAGUGAUUUGAGUGUAAAUGAACCACUUGGGUCCCUCAUAAAUCAUCUGCUGAAAAACAACGUCUGCGCUCAGGUCUGCCUAAAAUCAAAGCCAAUUAUGCCAAAAGUAUGCAAGCGUAAGCUCAUUAAUUUCAACAAUUAUAACUGACUUAUUUUGACCUAUAUCUCUGUGCCUGCGGUAGAUAGCUUUUGGAAGGUCUGUCAAAAGAAUCGCAUAAGCAUUUCAUUAAAGUUCUGUCAGCUGUAAAUAGGAGAAUGUCUGCGGCAUGAACACAUAUAUUUACACGUUGAACUGAUUUCGUUGAAAAGCUUGUAAUUAUUGUAUCAUCAAAGGCCAAAUACAGUAAGGUUAAUGAGGUUUGAUUUAA